GGCCAGGUCUUGCGCAAUGGAGACUUGUGAACCCCGCCAGGUCCGGAAGGAAGCAACGGUAAGCGAGCCCCUCCAUGUGCCGCGAGGGCGCCGGGCUCCG
rnacentral:SRP_RNA from 1 species